ensembl:piRNA 21ur-1972 ncRNA
UUCUUCCAUUAUAUCAACGGU